UUACAUAUUAAGUAGUCUAACAUGUAGCACAUAGCAUACAAAUGUUAGCCUCUUUCCUUAUCUACCAUACUCCUCCUGGCUUUUAUUCAGCUUGGUUUCUUUUCUAUCAAACUCUUUAUUUUUUACCUUUUCUUUUAUAUGUGUAUGCAGAGUACGUAUAUGUACAUGUUAGUGUGUGUGCCUACUUGUGUGCAUGUGAAGACCAGAGCUUGAUGUGCCUCACAUCUACCCUUUUGUUUUAUUUUUUGAGACAGGGUUCCUCUGUGUAAAGCUCUGGCUGUCCUGGAACUUUCUCUAUAGAUUAGGCUAGCCUCAAACUCAAAAAGGUCCACCUGCCUCUGCCUCCCACUGAGUGCUAGGAUUAAAGGCAUUGCCACCACUGCUCAGCCUACCACCCUAUUUCUUGAGGCAGGGUCCCUCACUGAACCUGGAGCGCAUUGAUUUAUUAGCUGGACUGGUCAGCCACCUCUCGGGAUAUGGAUGUCUCUGAGUCCACAUUCUGGGACUGCAGUUACUCAGCACAAUGCCUGGCACUGAAGGGUGCUAGGGAUCUGAAUUCAAGUCCUCAUUCUGGCAGAGCAAGAAUUGUUACCUUAUAUAAUUCUUAUAUACUUUACAACAUACAAUUCAUAUUCUACCUAUAUACACUUACAUAAAUAUAUUUAUGUUAUAUAAAUAACAUUAAUUUUAGACUAAUUUAGAUUUGUAGAGGGUUCUGUAUACGUCUCAGUUUCCCUAGUAUAUCACACUAGAGGGCAUUUAUCAGAACUAAACAUUGAUUGACAUCUUGUUACUUUCCCAUUGGAUUGAGACGUCAUCAGACUUUGCAUUCAGUCCUUUGUGUUCUCCCCGGAUCUAGUGUAAAGCAUCACAUGACAUAGAGCUGUCACCUCUUUAUAGCCAGCAGUGGCCCUCUGGUUCUUUCCUUGUCUUUUGUGACUUGGACAUUUUUGAGAAGUACUCAUGGGGUGUUUUGUAGAAAAUAUCUCAGAUUGGUUUUGUCUGAUCUUUUCUUCAUGAUUAGAGUGGUAGGUUUUUAGGAGGAUUCUCUUUAGUUGAGAUGUUUGCCAUCAUUAGUGAUGUUAAUGCUAUGUAAAUAUGUUUACAGACCACAGCGAGUUAUUUACAGACUCAGUGAGUUAUUACAAGGUCAGUGCGUUCAUGGAAACAUUUUCCAGAUGUAGUAGUGGAGCCCUAUCUGUCCGCAGAGGUCCCUCAUGCCCUCUUUCACCGAGACAACACUGUCCUGACGGCCCAUCCACCCAGCAGUUUUCUCUCAACUUUAUAUAAAUUAAGUGGCUAAGUAUUUUGGGCAAAUUAAUUUUAUUUUGACUGUGAAGCUCAGUAGUCUUUGUUACAGAUACAACAUAUGCGUAGAUUGAGUUUAUGUCAUCUUACUGUUGGAUAUGAAUAUGUGGGUUAUCUCUACUUCUGACUAUUAGAAAUAACAGCUUUUUAAGAAAAGAUUUAUUUUUAUGUGUAUGUAGUUUCUUAUUUGUCUGUAUAUCUUCAUGUGUACAGUGUCUGCAGAGGCCAGAGAGGGCAUUAGGUCCUCCAGACCUGAAGUUAGGCAUGGGUAUUAGCCUGGCUACCGAGAGCAGCAGCUGCUUUUGAUAGCUGAGCCAUGCUUCCAGCCCCUCACUAGGAGUUUUACAUUGAUGUUCAUGAAAGAGGUUGGCCUUUAGUUUUCCUUUCUUCCAGAGGUUCUUAUUAGGAUUUUAUAUAAAAUAAUGCUGACCUUAGGGACAGAACUGUAAAAUAUGUGAGGAAGCACCGUCUCUCCUGUUCCCUGGAAGAGCUUUGGUUACGGUUGUUCUUACUUCUUUUAGUCAAUGUGUCAGCAAGCCGCUCCCCCUGGAGUUCAUUGUGGGAAACUUUUAAAUUAAGGAUUCACUGUCUGUUUAGGUCCUGAGGCUUUCUUUUUUGAUAAAUUGUCCAGAAAAUUGCCUACUAUCUGUGUUUUCAAAUGUGUUUGGCAUCUUCUCAUGUUCAGGAAGCACAUAGCGAGACAGCCUUUUCAUUUCUGAGUGAGUUAGUGGUCGCCUCCACUCUUGCGGGGUGGGGACCAAUCAAAUCUCUUUAGCAGAGAACUGGCUUUUUGGUCAGUCUUUUUUUACUGUAUGUUUGUUUUUUAUUUCACUAAUAUUUUGAUUUUUAAUUUACUAUGAUCCCCACCCCCUGCUGACUUAUGUAAUAGAUUUUUUUUCUACCUUUUUUUAUUAGACUCCCUAAUAUUUUAGGGCUAUAAAUUUCCUUCUAGUCAUGUUAGUUUAUCUUACAUGUUUUUUAAAAUUAAUUUUGUGUGUAUGCUAUACACAUUUCAUGUGUGCAUGUGUGCAUACAUGUAGAAGCCAGAGGCAAUGGUGGGUAUCUUCCUUAACUGCUUUCUGUCCCUUCUGGCCUCCUCCCCAGGCCCUGUACAUGUGUGCAGCAAGACACUUAUAGACACAUAACUAUAAAAAUAAAUUUUUCUUUAAAAGUUGCGUUAUUUCUCUCAGCCAGAACUGGAAAUGACCCAAAUGUUCAAAUAUUUUUGGAGAUUGGGUUUUCAGUGGACCUGGGCCCACAGGUCCUCAGGCUUUGUAGUAAGCACCGUUAUCCUCUGGGCUACCUCACCUGGUCCUGAUUUUUGUUGUUUUGUUUGUUUGUUUGCUUACUUGCUUGUAUUGGUUUUUGACACAGGGUUUCUCUGUAUAGCCAUGGCUAUACUGGAACUAGCUCUGUAGACCAGGCUGGCCAGAACUCAUAGACCUGCCUCUACGUCCCAAGUGCUAGGAUUAAAAGUGUAUGCUGCUGCCACCGCUACUGCUCACUUCCCAUUAUUUGUUUAUUUUUAAAAAGACUUAAGGUCUAAAGAGAUGGCUCAGUGGUUAAGAGCACAGGCUGUUCUUCCAGAGGUCCUGAGUUUAAUUCCCAGCACCCACAUGGUGGCUCACAAUUAUCUUCAUUGGGAUUGGAUGCCUUCUUCUGGUGUGUCUGAAGACAGUGACAGUGUACUCAUAUAAAUAAAAUUAAUCUU
rnacentral:lncRNA from 1 species